UACGUAGGGGGCAAGCGUUGUCCGGAUUUAUUGGGCGUAAAGAGCGUGUAGGCGGUUAGGUAGGUCCGUUGUGAAAACUCGAGGCUCAACCUCGAGACGCCGAUGGAAACCAUCUAACUAGAGUCCGGAAGAGGAGAGUGGAGUUCCUGGUGUAGCGGUGAAAUGCGCAGAUAUCAGGAGGAACACCGAUGGCGAAGGCAGGUCUCUGGGCAUUAACUGACGCUGAGGAGCGAAAGCAUGGGGAGCGAACAGG
rnacentral:rRNA from 1 species